rnacentral:lncRNA from 1 species
AACAACAAAAAUACGGUAAAAAUUAUUUUUGUACCUUUUGAUCUAAUUUUUCUUAAAAAUUGAUUGAUUCUAAUUCUUAAUCUUUCAAACUCAGAUUAUUAUUGGUUAGGCAUGUUGAAAAUUUAUUGUUAGAAGUCUUCUUCUACAUAACAGUUUGAAGUUCAUAUGUGCAUAGUUUCAUAUUGAAGUUAGAUAUAUUAUUGGUUGCCGGAUGGGGCAAAAGUACUCACACAAAUGGGGCAAAGGUAGACUUGGCAAAUGCAUGUUUCAAGUCAAUCUUCAAAGUGAAUAUCAAGUUGAGCUUGAUAUUCUAUCAGCUAAUUUUGUCUGAAUUGCAAAAUGUCUAAAACCCGCAAAAGUACGCACGUGCGUACUUUUGCCCCAUUGGGUGGGGCAAAGGUCCGCAUUUACAAUUUUUUUUCAAAAAGUUAUCAACACUACAAAAA